rnacentral:rRNA from 1 species
GAGAGUAGUACUAGGAUGGGUGACCUCUGAAGUUAAGCGUGCUUGGGCGAGAGUAGUACUAGGAUGGGUGACCUCCUGGGAAGUCCUUGUGUUACAUUCC